UUACGGCCAUAUCACGAUGAACAUCCGGUUACGGUACGAUCACUGAAGUUAAGCAACGUCGAGGCUGGCCAAUACCUAGAUGGGUGACUGCUUGGAAUACCAGGUGCUGUAU